AUAGCGUAUAUUAAAGUUGUUGCAGUUAAAAAGCUCGUAGUUGAACUUCAGACCUGGCCGGGCGGUCCGCCUCACGGUGUGUACUGUCUGGCUGGGCCUUACCUCUUGGUGAGCCGGCAUGUCCUUUAUUGGGUGUGUCGGGGAACCAGGACUUUUACCUUGAGAAAAUUAGAGUGUUCAAAGCAGGCCUAUGCCUGAAUACGUUAGCAUGGAAUAAUGAAAUAGGACGUGCGGUUCUAUUUUGUUGGUUUCUAGAGUCGCCGUAAUGAUUAAUAGGGAUAGUUGGGGGCAUUCGUAUUCCGUUACUAGAGGUGAAAUUCUUGGAUUUACGGAAGACGAACUUCUG
rnacentral:rRNA from 1 species